rnacentral:rRNA from 1 species
UACGUAGGUGGCAAGCGUUGUCCGGAAUUACUGGGCGUAAAGAGCGCGCAGGCGGCUGGUCAAGUCCGAUGUGAAGGCUUCCGGCUUAACUGGGAAAUUGCAUCGGAAACUGAUCGGCUUGAAGGUGGGAGAGGGUAGUGGAAUUCCCGGUGUAGUGGUGAAAUGCGUAGAUAUCGGGAGGAACACCAGUGGCGAAGGCGACUACCUGGCCCACUCUUGACGCUGAGGCGCGAAAGCUAGGGGAGCGAACGGG